rnacentral:rRNA from 1 species
GCCUCCUGAUUACCAUGGUCGUGCCUUCCCGGUGAGCUUUCGCUUAAACGGACGCGGUAAACGUGCAAAGGUAGCUAAAUUACGGCCUAUUAAUUGUAGGUCCUGUGAAUGGUUUGACGAGCCUCCGGCUGUCUCUAAUCUGUUUUGGUGAACUUGAAUUGGACGUGCAAAUGCUUCCUUGAAAAAGAAAGACGAGAAGACCCCGUGAAGCUAGAAAUUGGCGUUAAGUUGGUGUAGUUUUGGCUGGGGAAGCAAAAGAGCAAGAUAAGACUCUUUUAAGCGGAUGCGCUACGAUCCACAGUUUUGUGAUUAGCAGAAAAAGUUACUCCGGGGAUAACAGCGUUAUCGUCCCGAUAGUUCUUAUAGAUGGGCGGGUUUGCGACCUCGAUGUUGCUCUGGGUAUCCUUAGGCUUGAGGCGGUCUUUAGGGUUGGUUCGUUCGCCCAUUAAAACCC